GCCGAAGUGGCGGAAUGGCAGACGCGCUGCGUUCAGGACGCAGUGCCCGCAAGGGCGUGGGAGUUCAAAUCUCCCCUUCGGCACCA
rnacentral:tRNA from 1 species